UGAUGUGAUUGGUAGAUGUGAAAAUUGAGAGGAGAGGACACAAGAGUAAAAGGUCUCUAUAUUUCGCCUCACUUCCUUUCUCCAGUACCUUUUGUGGCAGAGAGGUGGCUGGUGGCAGCGUGCUGGGCCUUUUGGCAUCUUGGUGUGGCUACAGCUAUUGUCCGGUUUAGUGGUGAGUUUCUGGCUGAGUUUUUCUUCCUUUACUUUCCAAACUUUAUCCUCUUAGAAGCCUCUAAUCUCCUUCAGAGACCUAGUGGCAGAGAUCUUGAACUCUCCCUGGCACAGGCCAGGUGGGAGAAAUCCUAUACCCUCUUCUCUCUUUUCUCUCUCUUCUCUCUCCUCUCUCUUUCUCUCUCUCUUCUCUCUUUUCUCUCUCUUCUCUCUCUUCUCUCUCUCUUCUCUCUCUGUCUUAUGUCUGUUCUCACUCCUCUCUCGCGUCUCUCUCUUUCUCUGUCUGUCUGUUCUCUGUGUUUCCUCUCUCUCUUCUCUCCCUCUGCCUGUGUCUUCUCUCUCUCUUCUCUCAUUUCUCUCUCUCUUCUCUCUCCUCUCUCUUUCUCUCUCUCCUCUCUCUCUUUCUCUCCUCUCCUCUCUUUUCUCUCUCUCUCCUCUCUCUCUCUCUCCUUCUCUGUCUUUUUCUCUCUCUCUCUCCCAGUCUCUCUUUCUCCCUCCUGUCUCUCUUCCUCUCUCUCUUAUCUCUGUCUCUCUCUUAUCUCUGUCUCUCUCUUUGUGAAAUAG
rnacentral:lncRNA from 1 species